rnacentral:rRNA from 1 species
UACGUAGGGUGCGAGCGUUAAUCGGAAUUACUGGGCGUAAAGCGUGCGCAGGCGGUUUCUGAAGUCCGUUGUGAAAGCCCCGGGCUUAACCUGGGAAUGGCAGUGGAAACUAGGAGACUUGAAUCUGGCAGAGGGGGGUGGAAUGCCACGUGUAGCAGUGAAAUGCGUAGAGAUGUGGCGGAACACCGAUGGCGAAGGCAGCCCCCUGGGUCAAGAUUGACGCUCAGGCACGAAAGCGUGGGGAGCAAACAGGAUUAGAUACCCUGGUAGUCCACGCCCUAAACGAUGACAACUAGGUGUUGGGGAAGCGAUUCUCUAGUACCGCAGCUAACGCGUGAAGUUGUCCGCCUGGGGAGUACGGUCGCAAGAUUAAA